rnacentral:lncRNA from 1 species
AAGCCUAAAGACAGCAAAAAGUUGGCACGAGCAGUGUGGCUCUUUUGUGCACAAGUUUUAUACCAAUAAAUCUUAGGUGGGGCCUUUCCAUUGGGGCUGAGGACCUCUCUCGGUCCACCGCUAAUCCCCUGGCUGGUGACUUUUUGCUUGUUGUGUCGCAGCUUUUGGUCCGACCAAGGAUCCGUCCCUUUUACACCCG